AUUGAACGCUGGCGGCAUGCUUUACACAUGCAAGUCGAGCGGCAGCGCGGGGGCAACCCUGGCGGCGAGCGGCGGACGGGUGAGUAAUGCAUCGGAACGUAUCCCGUAGUGGGGGACAACCCAGCGAAAGCUGGGCUAAUACCGCAUAUGCUCUACGGAGGAAAGUGGGGGACCCGCAAGGGCCUCACGCUAUGGGAGCGGCCGAUGUCCGAUUAGCUAGUUGGUGGGGUAAAGGCCCACCAAGGCGACGACUCGGUAGCUGGUCUGAGAGGAUGAUCAGCCACACUGGGACUGAGACACGGCCCAGACUCCUACGGGAGGCAGCAGUGGGGAAUUUUGGACAAUGGGGGCAACCCUGAUCCAGCCAUGCCGCGUGCGGGAAGAAGGCCUCGGGUGUAAACCGCUUUGUCGGAGAAAGG
rnacentral:rRNA from 1 species